rnacentral:rRNA from 1 species
GUGGUAAUUCUAGAGCUAAUACAUGCUGAAAACCCCGACUUCGGAAGGGAUGUAUUUAUUAGAUUAAAAACCAAUGCCCUUCUGGGCUCCCUGGUGAUUCAUGAUAACUUCUCGAAUCGCACGGCCUUGCGCCGGCGAUGGUUCAUUCAAAUUUCUGCCCUAUCAACUUUCGACGGCUGGGUCUUGGCCAGCCAUGGUGACAACGGGUAACGGAGGGUUAGGGCUCGACCCCGGAGAAGGAGCCUGAGAAACGGCUACUACAUCCAAGGAAGGCAGCAGGCGCGCAAAUUACCCAAUCCCGACACGGGGAGGUAGUGACAAUAAAUACUGAUACAGGGCUCUUUUGGGUCUUGUAAUUGGAAUGAGUACAAUUUAAUUCCCUUAACGAGGAACAAUUGGAGGGCAAGUCUGGUGCCAGCAGCCGCGGUAAUUCCAGCUCCAAUAGCGUAUAUUAAAGUUGUUGCAGUUAAAAAGCUCGUAGUUGAACCUUGGGCCUGGCUGGCCGGUCCGCCUCACCGCGUGCACUGGUCCGGCCGGGCCUUUCCCUCUGGGGAGCCGCAUGCCCUUCACUGGGCGUGCCGGGGAACCAGGACGUUUACUUUGAAAAAAUUAGAGUGUUCAAAGCAGGCUUAUGCUCGGAUACAUUAGCAUGGAAUAAUAGAAUAGGACGUGCGGUUCUAUUUUGUUGGUUUCUAGGACCGCCGUAAUGAUUAAUAGGGACAGUCGGGGGCAUCAGUAUUCAGUUGUCAGAGGUGAAAUUCUUGGAUUUACUGAAGACUAACUACUGCGAAAGCAUUUGCCAAGGAUGUUUUCAUUAAUCAGGAACGAAAGUUAGGGGAUCGAAGACGAUCAGAUACCGUCGUAGUCUUAACCAUAAACUAUGCCGACUAGGGAUCGGACGGUGUUAUUUUUUGACCCGUUC